UUCAUACUCGUACCUUUUGCAUCAUGAGUUAGCCAGAAAAUCUCAAGCAAAGAGCACUUUAGUUUGAUUCCCCGAAACUACGUGAGCUACUUCAAGACAGCCUAAAAUAGGGCGAACCCAUCUCUGUAGCAAAAGAGUGGGAUGAGCUUCGAGUAGCGGUGACAGACCUAUCGAACCUAGUUAUAGCUGGUUGCCUGAGAAAUGAAUAGAAGUUCAGCCUUUCGAGUUCUCCCCUCAACCCCGUCUUCACCCCCGGACAACCAAAGAAAUCGAAAGAGUUAGUUAAAGGGGGUACAGCCCCUUUAACACAAGAUACAACUUUCCCAGGAGGGUAGAGAUCACAUUCAAAUUCCAAGGUAAAAUGUUUUGGUGGGCCUAAGAGCAGCCACCCCUAUAGAAUGCGUUAAAGCUCAAAUAUAAUUACCACCCCUAAUCCUGACAACCCCAUCUUAACCCCCUAACCUUACCAGGCCGUCCCAUGCAACCAUGGGAGCGACCAUGCUAAUAUGAGUAAUAAGAGGGCAAAUCCGCCUCUCUCCACGCACAAGUGUAACUCGG
rnacentral:rRNA from 1 species